rfam:Schistosoma rodhaini strain Burundi genome assembly, scaffold: SROB_scaffold0006670
ACACUGCUGAGGAGUCCCACAAUAGGAUGAAACGCCCGUCCAGUGC